rnacentral:misc_RNA from 1 species
GUGAUUAAAUCGAGCGUGUCUUCAUUGACCGCUCACCCUUCUCACCAUCCACAUACACCUGUGCACUGUUUAGCCUGAGCCGGUUUUCCGGUCCAGGUUGUCAUUUCAUACAAACUCUAGUCUUAUGAAUGUAAACGUUUUAAUAACAUAAUA